rnacentral:rRNA from 1 species
ACGGUACACAGGGGGAAAGCUUGCUUUCUUGCUGACGAGUGGCGGACGGGUGAGUAAUGCUUGGGAAUCUGGCUUAUGGAGGGGGAUAACUACUGGAAACGGUAGCUAAUACCGCGUAAUGUCUAUGGACUAAAGGGUGGGACCAUUUGGCCACCUGCCAUAAGAUGAGCCCAAGUGGGAUUAGGUAGUUGGUGAGGUAAGGGCUCACCAAGCCGUCGAUCUCUAGCUGGUCUGAGAGGAUGACCAGCCACACUGGAACUGAGACACGGUCCAGACUCCUACGGGAGGCAGCAGUGGGGAAUAUUGCACAAUGGGGGGAACCCUGAUGCAGCCAUGCCGCGUGAAUGAAGAAGGCCUUCGGGUUGUAAAGUUCUUUCGGUGACGAGGAAGGCGGGUAUUUUAAUAGAAUACCCGAUUGACGUUAAUCACAGAAGAAGCACCGGCUAACUCCGUGCCAGCAGCCGCGGUAAUACGGGGGGUGCGAGCGUUAAUCGGAAUAACUGGGCGUAAAGGGCACGCAGGCGGUUGUUUAAGUGAGGUGUGAAAGCCCCGGGCUUAACCUGGGAAUUGCAUUUCAGACUGGACAACUAGAGUAUUUUAGGGAGGGGUAGAAUUCCACGUGUAGCGGUGAAAUGCGUAGAGAUGUGGAGGAAUACCGAAGGCGAAGGCAGCCCCUUGGGAAUAUACUGACGCUCAUGUGCGAAAGCGUGGGGAGCAAACAGGAUUAGAUACCCUGGUAGUCCACGCCGUAAACGCUGUCGAUUUGGGGAUUGGGCUUUAAGCUU